GAACGAACUCUGGUAUUGAUUGGUGCUUGCAUCAUGAUUUACAUUUGAGUGAGUGGCGAACUGGUGAGUAACACGUGGGAAACCUGCCCAGAAGCGGGGGAUAACACCUGGAAACAGAUGCUAAUACCGCAUAACAACUUGGACCGCAUGGUCCGAGUUUGAAAGAUGGCUUCGGCUAUCACUUUUGGAUGGUCCCGCGGCGUAUUAGCUAGAUGGUGGGGUAACGGCUCACCAUGGCAAUGAUACGUAGCCGACCUGAGAGGGUAAUCGGCCACAUUGGGACUGAGACACGGCCCAAACUCCUACGGGAGGCAGCAGUAGGGAAUCUUCCACAAUGGACGAAAGUCUGAUGGAGCAACGCCGCGUGAGUGAAGAAGGGUUUCGGCUCGUAAAACUCUGUUGUUAAAGAAGAACAUAUCUGAGAGUAACUGUUCAGGUAUUGACGGUAUUUAACCAGAAAGCCACGGCUAACUACGUGCCAGCAGCCGCGGUAAUACGUAGGUGGCAAGCGUUGUCCGGAUUUAUUGGGCGUAAAGCGAGCGCAGGCGGUUUUUUAAGUCUGAUGUGAAAGCCUUCGGCUCAACCGAAGAAGUGCAUCGGAAACUGGGAAACUUGAGUGCAGAAGAGGACAGUGGAACUCCAUGUGUAGCGGUGAAAUGCGUAGAUAUAUGGAAGAACACCAGUGGCGAAGGCGGCUGUCUGGUCUGUAACUGACGCUGAGGCUCGAAAGUAUGGGUAGCAAACAGGAUUAGAUACCCUGGUAGUCCAUACCGUAAACGAUGAAUGCUAAGUGUUGGAGGGUUUCCGCCCUUCAGUGCUGCAGCUAACGCAUUAAGCAUUCCGCCUGGGGAGUACGGCCGCAAGGCUGAAACUCAAAGGAAUUGACGGGGGCCCGCACAAGCGGUGGAGCAUGUGGUUUAAUUCGAAGCUACGCGAAGAACCUUACCAGGUCUUGACAUACUAUGCAAAUCUAAGAGAUUAGACGUUCCCUUCGGGGACAUGGAUACAGGUGGUGCAUGGUUGUCGUCAGCUCGUGUCGUGAGAUGUUGGGUUAAGUCCCGCAACGAGCGCAACCCUUAUUAUCAGUUGCCAGCAUUAAGUUGGGCACUCUGGUGAGACUGCCGGUGACAAACCGGAGGAAGGUGGGGAUGACGUCAAAUCAUCAUGCCCCUUAUGACCUGGGCUACACACGUGCUACAAUGGAUGGUACAACGAGUUGCGAACUCGCGAGAGUAAGCUAAUCUCUUAAAGCCAUUCUCAGUUCGGAUUGUAGGCUGCAACUCGCCUACAUGAAGUCGGAAUCGCUAGUAAUCGCGGAUCAGCAUGCCGCGGUGAAUACGUUCCCGGGCCUUGUACACACCGCCCGUCACACCAUGAGAGUUUGUAACACCCAAAGUCGGUGGGGUAACCUUUUAGGA
rnacentral:rRNA from 2 species